rnacentral:rRNA from 1 species
GAUGAACGCUGGCGGCGUGCCUAAUACAUGCAAGUCGAGCGAAUGGAUUAAGAGCUUGCUCUUAUGAAGUUAGCGGCGGACGGGUGAGUAACACGUGGGUAACCUGCCCAUAAGACUGGGAUAACUCCGGGAAACCGGGGCCAAUACCGGAUAACAUUUUGAACCGCAUGGUUCGAAAUUGAAAGGCGGCUUCGGCUGUCAAUUAUGGAUGGACCCGCGUCGAAUUAGCUAGUUGGUGAGGUAACGGCUCACCAAGGCAACGAUGCGUAGCCGACCUGAGAGGGUGAUCGGCCACACUGGGACUGAGACACGGCCCAGACUCCUACGGGAGGCAGCAGUAGGGAAUCUUCCGCAAUGGACGAAAGUCUGACGGAGCAACGCCGCGUGAGUGAUGAAGGCUUUCGGGUCGUAAAACUCUGUUGUUAGGGAAGAACAAGUGCUAGUUGAAUAAGCUGGCACCUUGACGGUACCUAACCAGAAAGCCACGGCUAACUACGUGCCAGCCGCCGCCGUAA